CUAACACAUGCAAGUCGAACGCAUCCUUCGGGAUGAGUGGCGCACGGGUGAGUAACACGUGGGAACGUACCUUGGAGUACGGAAUAAUCCUUGGAAACGAGGACUAAUACCGUGGGCGGAAUGGAAGCCGAUUUUAUGGAUGCUUCUGGGCGGCAUAUGGACGAUGCAGAGCGUUUAUUCGAUGCGGGACGCUGGGCGAAUGCGGACCAUCUCUAUGGGGUGGCGGUCG
rnacentral:ncRNA from 1 species